rnacentral:rRNA from 1 species
CAGCCGCCGCGGGAAUACGAAGGGUGCAAGCGUUAAUCGGAAUUACUGGGCGUAAAGCGUGCGCAGGCGGUUUGUUAAGACAGAUGUGAAAUCCCCGGGCUCAACCUGGGAACUGCAUUUGUGACUGGCAAGCUAGAGUAUGGCAGAGGGGGGUGGAAUUCCGCGUGUAGCAGUGAAAUGCGUAGAUAUGCGGAGGAACACCGAUGGCGAAGGCAGCCCCCUGGGCCAAUACUGACGCUCAUGCACGAAAGCGUGGGGAGCAAACAGGAUUAGAGACCCCAGUAGUCCCUGUCUCUUUACA